rnacentral:rRNA from 1 species
UGCCAGCAGCCGCGGUAAGACGAACCGUCCAAACGUUAUUCGGAAUCACUGGGCUUAAAGGGUGCGUAGGCGGCGCGGUAAGUUGGGUGUGAAAUCCCUCGGCUCAACCNAGGAACUGCGCCCAAAACUACCGUGCUCGAGGGAGAUAGAGGUAAGCGGAACUUAGGGUGGAGCGGUGAAAUGCGUUGAUAUCCUAAGGAACACCGGUGGCGAAAGCGGCUUACUGGAUCUCUUCUGNCNCUGAGGCACGAAAGCUAGGGUAGCGAACGGGAUUANAUACCCUGGUAGUCCAAUCACU